UACACCUUAUAAACCUCAUACCUCAACUUUUUCCUUAUAUUUGUUUUAAUUUUUUUUUAUUGCAGUGCCUAUUGUACAUGUUAUAUUCGCAUUUUACUCGUAACUUAUUUUCUUAUCGUAAUGCUCCCUUGCGAGCCGUACGUACCUAUACUCAAAAAUAAAAUUCCACAUAUUAUUAUAACAAAAUAGCGUACGAAAUGUCCGUUAUUAUUUUGCCUACGGUAUUUAUUGAUUAUUAUUUUGAUCGUGUUAUACUCGACUGAAUACUUAAAAUCCGUUUAGCUGUGUACAAUAGCCUACACUCUAUAUCAUGUUGAGUAGCUGUAUUGAUUUUAGUGCCCGGGCGCGCUAUAGUCGAGUCUCAGUUUCCGUGAAACGUACUAUAGUUUGAAGUUUCACACUCGUGCGGUAUUGAUUAAUUUAUGUACCUAUAGUCUACAGAUGGGCGAUGGCGAAUGCCGGAUGCCCAAUUAAAUAUUAAUACAUUUCUCAAUUUCUAAUAUAUUUAUUUGUUGUUAUUGUUAACUUUUGCACCGGUUUGUUUGUGCGAUUUUUUAUUUCAAUUAUGAACAAUUCAAAAAGUGUUUCAUACCGCAAAUGUGGUGUGAAAUACUGUAAGAAUAGAAAUUCGCUUCAUUCAGCUAAAUAUGUAAUUAGUCACUUCACGUUACCGAAGGACUCUGAAAGACGUGCGAUGUGGAUUGAGAAUUGUGUCCCCGAACUGGCUGACAAAAACGUUGUCGUUAAAGAUUAUUUUGAAGACAAAAAUAUGGUCCUGAAUGUUAAUCGUAGAAACAGGUUAACAAAUAAUGCUGUCCCUAUCCUCUUUAACGACGUGCGAUGUGGAUUGAGAAUGGUGUCCCCGAAGUGGCUGACAAAAACGUUGUUGUUAAAGAUUAUUUUGAAGACAAAAAUAUGGUCCUGAAUGUUAAUCGUAGAAACAGGUUAACGGAUAAUGCUGUCCCUACCCUCUUUAACGGUAUGAGAUGAUUUCUUGACGAAUUCGCUAUCCAGGACAGGUCGUCAGUCCGUCGCCGGAGAGAGGGUAGCCUGCCCGUUACCGAGUGUCGAACCAGGGCAGUCAGCGAUAACAUGACCUCCUUACCCACUCGGCCACUCCACCUCCAGAAAUCGUCUAGGAGAAUGAAAUGUUUUAUUUCUAAUCAAAUGGUAUGUGAUUUUUUCGGUGGAAGUAUAUUGUCAAAAUUAUGAUCGACGCCACUUGUAUCUACAUGGAUACACCAAAAUUCAAAUGUUUUGCAAAUUACAGCUAGUAUUAAAAGGUUGUCUCAGUAUAAAUGUGUUUCACGUAGUCUGCAGAAUAUAUAAAAACCCAUGUACCUUAGUUUAAAAAGAAGUUAUUUAUUUAAUUACCCGGAGAAAGACAUUUUUUAAUUUCUCAUUUUAAAUUAUUAUAUUAUUCUGUCAUUAUAUUUGUAAUAAAUACAAAUAAUACAUUUUAUUAUAGUGCUUAUUAAAUAAUUUGUUAAAUACCUACUAACAAGCAGACGGCAGCUGUAUUUAGACAAUUCACACUAGACUAUAGUGUACAAUGGUCAAUGAAGAAAUAAAUCAGGUUUUCUUUUAUAAACAUCAAUCGGCAGAAGAAAAAAAAUACACAUAUAUUAAACUGUUAUUUUACAUUUUUGUUUGUUUUUGCUAUGGAUUACUUUCUGGCGAACAUAUUAGACGGAUUUCAAUUUGUUUUUCAUGUGAAGCUUACUAAUUACUCUACGGCACCCAAAGCCCGAUAUUAUUUUAGAUAUUAGAAAAUUAGUUUCUUAGAAGAAACUAGUAGAAGUAAAGUAUAAACGCUUUUGAUACAAUUUUAUUCACAAAAAUAAAAAAUUGGACUUUAAGCUCCCGUAGAGAAAAUAUUAAGUUUAAAACAAAAUAAACAAAGUUUUGAAAUCAUUACGGUAAAAACUUAAAAAAGUGACUUCGCGUUUGAGUGUAAUUGUAUAAAAUUUUGCGCUUUUCUUGCCGCUUCAUAAAUAGAGUUAUUAGAAUUAUUUCUUAGGUUAUAAAAAUGUUAAUCAGUGUUGAAAGUACUUAGAGUUGAGCCAAAGUUAAGGAUCUAAAGUUGUAUAGUCAUCUUAUUUUAAUAGACUGAUAUCAUUUGGGGAAGGGGUAAGUAAGGGGGAUGCGGGGUAUUAUGUGGAUAGACAGGAUUUAAAAGAAAAAUAAUAUUAAAAUGAUAAACCCUUAGAUGUUAACGACUUACGAGUUUGACAUCUCGUCCGUAUACCACACUUAGUAUUUUACAGGUACGAUACAGAUACCAUUUAUAACUGUUAUUAUAAAUGAUGUCAAUUACUAUUUAUCUUAAUUUUUUAUGAAAUGUUUACUUGAAUCUUAAUGUAAAUCGACCACACAACACUAUCAUCCCAAUAAUAAGAUGACAGUGCUGUACUAAUGAAAUCUCAAUAAUAUUAGUGUGUAUGUAUGUAUGUGAAGUAGACUGUAGUAUGUAGUAUCCAUAUUGAUAUGAAAUUUAAAAAAUAUAUAUAUUUCUGAGAUGUCAAAACCACAGCUUAUGUAUAUUACACGCAUUGUGUGUUUGUCUCCGGCGACGGAUAGCGAACAUGUCAAGAAACCAUCUCAUGAUGGCAGCUUUGGGCCCCUUCAUAAUCUGUUAAGGUACAAGAUGAUGAUACACCUAAUAGUCAUCUAAUAGUCUGCUGUCUAUGGUAACACAUAUUCCAUUAAGAGUUAGAACAUGAAGACAUAACGCAUAAUAUGCAUAUUUAUAUAAUUACCGCUGUUCAUUUGACGCUCUUUAGUUUGCCUGGUGGUGACAGUUUAACACUUCCAUAUUAUCGUCUCAAUAUUGUAGUGGAUUAAGUUUUAAAUACUAAUACAAUCAAUAAAAGUUAAGUGAUUAGGCAAAUUAAAAAAAAAGGAAAA